CUGACUCAGAGCAGCACCGCCGCUUCGCACGCGAUGCUGCCGGCUCCCCCCAUCCUCCGCGGGCUCCCGGCGCCGCACGGGGAGAGCAGGCACGCUUGGGGGGCGGGAGCUGCCUGGGGAGGAGGACAAGGGGUCCCCAGCCCGGCCGGGGAUGCUCAGGGAGGCGGGAGUCAGGCAGGAGUGGCUGGAGGAAGGGAGGAGCAGUUUUACAGCCAUAAUCCCACUCUUUGGUGUGGCUGGGACAGGCCUCACUGUCUCUUGCAUUUCUUGGUGGUGCCUGAUAUUAAAAGUCCUGCCAGUGAAGGAUUGCUCUCUUUGGAGCGGAGCACAGAUCCUCCCAGGGUACCAGGGUUUAUGACUGACUCCCUUGAUGAAGCAAAU
rnacentral:lncRNA from 1 species